rnacentral:rRNA from 1 species
GACGAACGCUGGCGGCGUGCUUAACACAUGCAAGUCGAACGGAAAGGCCCUGCUUUUGUGGGGUGCUCGAGUGGCGAACGGGUGAGUAACACGUGAGUAACCUGCCCUUGACUUUGGGAUCACUUCAGGCAACUGGGGCUAAUACCGGAUAGGAGCUCCUGCUGCUUGGUGGGGGUUGGAAAGUUUCGGCGGUUGGGGAUGGACUCGCGGCUUAUCAGCUUGUUGGUGGGGUAGUGGCUUACCAAGGCUUUGACGGGUAGCCGGCCUGAGAGGGUGACCGGCCACCGGGCGACUGAGAUACGGCCGAGAGUCGUACGGGAUGCAGCAGUGGGGAAUAUUGCACAAUCGGCCGAAGCCGGGUGCAGCAUGGCCGCGUUCUGGAUGACGGCCUUCGGGUAGUAAACCGCUUUGUCCUGUGACGAUGCGUGAGUGACGGUAAUGGGUAAAGAAGCACCGGCUAACUACGUG